rnacentral:rRNA from 1 species
GAAUUUUGGACAAUGGGCGAAAGCCUGAUCCAGCAAUGCCGCGUUCAGGAUGAAGGCCUUCGGGUUGUAAACUGCUUUUGUACGGAACGAAAAGCUUUGGGUAAAUACCCUGUAGUCAUGACGGUACUGUAAGAAUCAACUCUGGCAAACCACGUGCCAUCAGCCGCGGUAAUACGUAGGGCGCAAGCGUUAAUCGGAAUUACUGGGCGUAAAGCGUGCUCAGGCGGUUGUGUAAGACAGAGGUGAAAUCCCCGGGCUCAACCUGGGAACUGCCUUUGUGACUGCAAGGCUAGAGUACGGCAGAGGGGGGUGGAAUUCCGCGUGUAGCAGUGAAAUGCGUAGAUAUGCGGAGGAACACCGAUGGCGAAGGCAACCCCCUGGGCCUGUACUGACGCUCAUGCACGAAAGCGUGGGGAGCAAACA